rnacentral:rRNA from 1 species
UCCGUAGGUGAACCUGCGGAAGGAUCAUUAUUAUUUGGGUCGGGUUUACUUCUAAGAACUUGUUUCAGUUGUUGUCCUAGUAUUUAAGAAGUAAACUUUUACCAAAUAAUCCUAUAUUUCUCCUAUAGGAGCAAGAUAAACUUAUAUUUAAAACCCACACUUUGAAUGAACGUAUUUUUGAAUGAAAAUAAAAUAAAGAUCACUUUCAACAACGGAUCUCUUGGCUCUCGCAUCGAUGAAGAACGUAGCGAAGUGCGAUAAGUAAUGUGAAUUGCAGAAUUCCGUGAAUCAUCGAAUCUUUGAACGCAAAUUGCACUCUCUGGCAUUCCAGAGAGUAUGCCUGUUUGAGGGUCAGUUAAAUAAAAAUCGGGGUUGUUGCUGCCUUUCGUGGCGACGCUUCGGAUUUGGGGUAAUCUUUACCUUCGGUUAAAGUGACCUAAAAUUUUAUGAUUUUUCGAACGUAUUUAAAUUAUUUUGUGUACGUUUGUGAUAUCGAAUUAGAUGUGGUCAUUCUCAUGAUUCGCGUCUAUAAUUUUUUCAUAUAAUGGACCUCCAAAUCAGGGUAAGGAAUACCCGGCUGGAACUUAAGGCAUAUCAAUAAGGCGGGGAGGGG